UUGCAAAUUUUCUUCACUAGAAAUAAAAAGAUUGUCAAGGAGGAUGGUGCUGAAGUUUUGUGGAUUCAAUACUCUCCUAUUAUCCUUCAAUCCAGUUUUGGCUGCCUCGAUGCCAGAGAUGAAGAAGCCUGAAGUUAUUCGUGUCCAGGACACUGAAGCUUGCCAGUGGGGUUAGGUUUCAAGAGAUUAUUGAAGGGGAAGGACCAGAAGCUCAAGAGGGGGAUACAGUUGAAGUUAACUAUGUAUGCAGGCGUUCAAAUGGAUAUUUUGUUCAUAGGUGACUGUUGUCUAAAUUUCAUCACUGUGGAUCAAUUCAGCGGCGAAAGCUCGCCUGUCAUACUUCCUUUGGAUGAGAACCAGGUAUGGUAGAAGUUAAGAUAAUGGACUUGAAAGUGUUAGGACCUGCGAGAGCAUAAGAAUUCUACGCAGUUGCCUACAUCCACAGAGCAACCAGUUUCAUUAUAUAGAUAGAAAAUACAAUUACAACAAAGGAGGAGGAGGAACACCCUUCAACUCAACUCCUGACUCUUUGUAAUUGCCUCAGUCUCUCUUUAUCUCUCUGCUGCUGCUGCUUACUCGUUGCUACACUUCUGCCCUCUAUUUAUAGCUGAAAAUGGGGAACAAACGUUCCCAUUUCCAGACAAGAAUUCUGCCAAGAACAAACCAAUAGCAUAUCAUUGAAUAUUUCAUACUUCCUAUAUUGUACUGAUGGCUCCAUCAACUAUCAUACAUGCUAUAGAAAUACACACUUACCGACUUCAAGAUUUUUGUCUUGCUUAUGAACAGAAAUCCUAAUUUUCAUCAUCGUUUGCUGCAUUUUAAUAAGCUUUUGUGGCCGAAAUUGUGUUUUCAAAUCAUAAGUUUCUUCCCUCGACAGAUUAUUAAGGGCUUGAAGGAAGUCUUGAUUGGCAUGAAGGUUGGAGGUAAGAGAAGAGCAUUGAUACCUCCUUCUGUUGGAUACGUAAAUGAAAACUUGAAACCAAUUCCUGAUGAGUUUGGCCCUCGACGUAGCCUCUUCUCCCAUGCAAA